rnacentral:rRNA from 1 species
UUGAGCGAUUUACUUCGGUAAGAGCGGCGGACGGGUGAGUAACGCGUGGGUAACCUACCCUGUACACACGGAUAACAUACCGAAAGGUAUGCUAAUACGGGAUAAUAUAUUUGAGAGGCAUCUCUUAAAUAUCAAAGGUGAGCCAGUACAGGAUGGACCCGCGUCUGAUUAGCUAGUUGGUAAGGUAACGGCUUACCAAGGCGACGAUCAGUAGCCGACCUGAGAGGGUGAUCGGCCACAUUGGAACUGAGACACGGUCCAAACUCCUACGGGAGGCAGCAGUGGGGAAUAUUGCACAAUGGGCGAAAGCCUGAUGCAGCAACGCCGCGUGAGUGAUGAAGGCCUUCGGGUCGUAAAACUCUGUCCUCAAGGAAGAUAAUGACGGUACUUGAGGAGGAAGCCCCGGCUAACUACGUGCCAGCAGCCGCGGUAAUACGUAGGGGGCUAGCGUUAUCCGGAUUUACUGGGCGU